UGAGGAAACUGAGGCCCAGAGAGGUUAUACAACUCGCUCAAAAUCACACGUCUAAUGAGUGGCAGGUCUGUGUUUAAAUUCAGGGGGAUCUGGCUUCAGAAAGCUCCUGAGUCCCUCUUCAUGUGUCCCCUCAUGCACAUACACAUGUUGCCGCUACUCAACAUUUUUUUUCUUUUUGACCACCAAGGGAUAGGAUCCCCGGGGUGGUGCCAGAGGUGCGGUCGAGGGUUGGUGUUCUUCACUAGCUGCCUGCCCGGGCAGACGUUGGGUUCUGUGGGAUUUGGGCUGGUGAAGACUGACAUCUCCCAACUCCUCCCUUCUUCUCUCCUCCACAGCCCACCCUGAGAGAGCCGCCCUUCUGUUUGUGUCCAGUGUCUGCAUUGGCCUGACCCUCACCUUAUGUGCCUUGGUCAUCAGAGUGUCCUGCACCAAAGACUUUCAGGAGCUGCAGCUGGGGAGGGAGCGCCUGGUGCCAGGAGGCGACAGACCUGGGGCGGACAGCGAGGAGGAAGCAGAGGAGGAGGACUCCUCUGACUCGGAGUUCCCAGGGGAGCUGGCGGGGUUCUGCAGGACUUCAUACCCAGCCUACAGCUCCGUAGAGGCUGCAGAGCUGGCAGAGAGGAUUGAGCGCAGGGAGCAGAUCAUUCAGGAAAUAUGGAUGAACAGUGGCUUGGACACGUCCCUCCCGAGGAACAUGAGCCACUUCUACUGAAAACCAUCUGCCUCUCAAUGAGACCACACUUUCUGAAGAGGGAAGGAUCCAAAUGCCCCUCCAGUCCUGUCUCAUUUAUACCUUCUAUGAAGGAGAAUUCUCCAUGGCAUCCAAGACUGGUGAAGCCAGAAAGCCAUCAAAGGGACAUUUCAAAUUGUUUACAGCACCCCAAAAUAAAUUAGGAGGGGAGAAGUUUUUGUGAUCUG
rnacentral:lncRNA from 1 species